GAGUUUGAUCUUGGCUCAGGACGAACGCUGGCGGCGUGCCUAAAACAUGCAAGUCGAACGAGAUCUUCGGAUCUAGUGGCGAACGGCGGAGUAAGACAUGAGCAACGUGCCCCUAUGACUGGGAUAUACAGAGGAAACUCUGGGCAAUACCGGAUGCGGCCAACCAUUGGCAUCUUUGGUUGACUAAACGGAUUUAUUCGCAUAGGGAGCGGCUCAUGACCCAUCAGGUAGUUGGUAGGGUAACGGCCUACCAAGCCGACGACGGGUAGCGGGUCUGAGAGGAUGAUCCGCCCGAGUGGGACUGAGACACGGCCCACACACCUACGGGUGGCAGCAGUUGGGAAUCUUGCACAAUGGGGGAAACCCUGAUGCAGCGACGCCGCGUGGAGGAUGAUGGAUUUAGGUCUGUAAACUCCUUUUGCUAGGAAAGACUUAGGACGGUACCUAGCGAAUAAGCUCCGGCUAACUACGUGCCAGCAGCCGCCGCGGU
rnacentral:rRNA from 1 species